rnacentral:rRNA from 1 species
GUCUUCGGACUGCGGAAGAGUGGCGAACGGGUGAGGAACACGUAAGAAUCUGCCCCUCGGUCGGGGACAACUCUUGGAAACGAGAGCUAAUACCCGAUACGCUGUGGAGUGAAAGAAUUUCGCCGAGGGAUGAUCUUGCGUCUGAUUAGCUAGUUGGUGUGGUAACUGCACACCAAGGCGACGAUCAGUAGCUGGUCUGAGAGGAUGGACAGCCACAUUGGAACUGAGACACGGUCCAAACUCCUACGGGAGGCAGCAGUGGGGAAUUUUCCGCAAUGGACGAAAGUCUGACGGAGCGACGCUGCGUGAAGGAUGACGGCCCGCGGGUUGUAAACUUCUUUUCUCGAAGAAGAAACAAAUGACGGUAUUCGAGGAAUAAGCAUCGGCUAACUCCGUGCCAGCAGCCGCGGUAAGACGGAGGAUGCAAGUGUUAUUCGGAAUGAUUGGGCGUAAAGAGUCUGUAGGCUGUAUAGAAAGUCUUUUGUUAAAUUCCUCGGCUCAACCGAGAUCAAGCAAAGGAAACUUCUAUACUUGA